rnacentral:rRNA from 1 species
GUGCCAGCCGCCGCGGUAAUACGGAGGGGGUUAGCGUUGUUCGGAAUUACUGGGCGUAAAGCGCACGUAGGCGGACCAUCAAGUUGGGGGUGAAAUCCCGGGGCUCAACCCCGGAACUGCCUUCAAAACUGGUGGUCUGGAGUUCGAGAGAGGUGAGUGGAAUUCCGAGUGUAGAGGUGAAAUUCGUAGAUAUUCGGAGGAACAUCAGUGGCGAAGGCGGCUCACUGGCUCGAUACUGACGCUGAGGUGCGAAAGUGUGGGGAGCAAACAGGAUUAGAUACCCGAGUAGUCC